ACUGGGGCACGACGUGGAGGAGCAGGAGGUGUUCCGUUUUGCACAACCUCUGCCGCUCACGUCAUGAAUUGAUCAAAUCGGAUUGUCAACACCUCAACUUGAUUACGCAGAUUUGCAACUUCACCAAUCUGGCCACCACGACCACCACGUCCUCUCCCAUGCACCAUGCUCUGAUACCAAAAUGAUGUAGAUUGAAUCUACAAACACACGACAACAAUAACCAAACGGAUUGAAUUCAGAAACAAACUUUUAUUAUUUCGUGAACAACCAAGAAAACCCUAGGAGGCGUCUUGCAGCAUCUUAAAUAUGAAAGAAAAGAUAACCUAUUGGGCCAGCAGUCCCAAAAUGGGCUGGGCUACAAAAUGGAAAUAACAAAUGCUGAAAAUAAAUAACAUAAAAACUUAAAAUGCUGUUUUGACACACUAAACGACUUCAAAUGCCCAAAAACUCUCGUACGUCACAGCAAAGCGGUGAGUUCAAUCCGAAACGCUCGCUACCUUUCCGAAAUGGGGUUAUGGGCCCAAAACGGACACCAAACGCAANNN
rnacentral:lncRNA from 1 species